CUGGCAGGACAUAGGGGAUAGUAGAGCUGUCAUUUGACUGAAGUGACGCUGUCCACUGAACUAUUUGACUGCAAAGAGAGACAGAUGACCCUUUGGUGAAUUAGCCAAGGUGAGAGAGUGGUGCGCAAAGAAGGAAAUGACACCAUGCAGAACGUAUGGAAGCUAAGCACACCUCUGGCUUUGUUCGUAACACUGCUAGAUUCAUGCAGGAAGAGAAGUUAUACUGUGGUCCAGGGAACUCACCCAAGCCACAACCCUAUCUACUCCUCCCCAGCCUACCCUGCUCCUCAAUAUCAUGCCUGCAGCAGAGAUCCCAAAACAACCUCAGCCCCACUGUGAGGCUGCUUUGGCAUAGGAACAUUCAGCUUUUUCUGAAAGCACAGCUCUAAGCACAUCUGCAACACUGAGAAGCUGAGAAGCCUCAGUGCUAAGCUGAACAUGGGCUGUCAAGACUUCCACCUCCUUUAGGACUGCAUCCCAAGGAAUGAAUGGAGCUGGGAACAGCAAGAAUUAUUUACAAAG
rnacentral:lncRNA from 1 species